UACGAAGGGGGCUAGCGCUGUUCGGAAUUACUGGGCGUAAAGGGCGCGUAGGCGGUGUGUCAAGUCAGGCGUGAAAGCCCCGGGCUCAACCUGGGAACAGCGCUUGAGACUGGCACGCUCGAGUUCGGGAGAGGAUGGUGGAAUUCCCAGUGUAGAGGUGAAAUUCGUAGAUAUUGGGAAGAACACCGAUGGCGAAGGCAGCCAUCUGGACCGACACUGACGCUGAGGCGCGAAAGCGUGGGGAGCGAACAGG
rnacentral:rRNA from 1 species